CAUCCUGAGGAAAGUUGUUGAAGUUUCCACACAGACCACAGGUGCGCCUCUUAUACGUACCUGGAACACUGACCUCCAGGUGAGAACGUCCGUUCCACAACACCUACAGAGGGAGAGCAGAUGAAGAGCAGGUGAAGAGAUGGAGAAGAGAUGAAGAACACAUGAAGAGCAGGUGAACAGAUGGAGAAGAGAUGAAGAACACAUGAAGAGCAGGUGAAGAGAUGGAGAAGAGAUGAAGAACACAUGAAGAGCAGGUGAAGAGAUGGAGAAGAGAUGAAGAACAGAUGAAGAGCAGGUGAAGAGAUGGAGAAGAGAUGAAGAACACAUGAAGAGCAGGUGAAGAGAUGGAGAAGAGAUGAAGAACACAUGAAGAGCAGGUGAACAGAUGGAGAAGAGAUGAAGAACACAUGAAGAGCAGGUGAAGAGAUGGAGAAGAGAUGAAGAACACAUGAAGAGCAGGUGAACAGAUGGAGAAGAGAUGAAGAACAGAUGAAGAGCAGGUGAACAGAUGGAGAAGAGAUGAAGAACACAUGAAGAGCAGGUGAAGAGAUGGAGAAGAGAUGAAGAACAGAUGAAGAGCAGGUGAACAGAUGGAGAAGAGAUGAAGAACACAUGAAGAGCAGGUGAACAGAUGGAGAAGAGAUGAAGAACACAUGAAGAGCAGGUGAACAGUUGGAGAAGAGAUGAAGAACACAUGAAGAGCAGGUGAAGAGAUGGAGAAGAGAUGAAGAACACAUGAAGAGCAGGUGAAGAGAUGGAGAAGAGAUGAAGAACAGAUGAAGAGCAGGUGAACAGAUGGAGAAGAGAUGAAGAACAGAUGAAGAGCAGGUGAAGAGAUGGAGAAGAGAUGAAGAACAGAUGAAGAGCAGUUCUAAACCUUCACCCUCUACCUUCAUGCCAACGUCGGUGUUGAGGAGGAUGGUGUUGGAUUUACGCUCCAGGUAAAUAUACGGCUCUCUGAGGAACGGCAGUGUGACGGUUUGAUGAUCGACCUGAGGACCAG